CGCCGUGGAGGACGCAGCUCCACCAUUGCCCCAACGCCAUCCAGGUCCGCCCCUUCUCCUCUCCUCCCCUCUUGGAUUUCUUCUUUUCCUGCCUUGCACACGUCCACUCAAGUUCUAACCCAAACAAGAAAAAAUAUCAAUCUUGUUUUUGCUGCAUAUGCAAUAAUGGUUGAGGAGGACUCAACUGUUCACUUCUAUAAUUGUGCCAUAAAUCAGUUUACUCUACUUGAGGGCUGCCAUGGUUAGCUCGAUUUGAUAGGGUCCUUACUACAUAUGCUGCAGGGAUUUAACUUGACUUGUUAAUAAUGAGUGUCAAUCAAUCAAACACAAGGAAACUAUAAAUGCUUACUAUUUCAUAUAGUGAUCGUUGUGUUGUGUAUAGGUAAAACUUGUGUUGUCCUUGUCUACUUCGGAGGCAUCAUCAUGUGUUGUCAAUUUAGUUUCUGCCAUGGUUUUGGUUUGGUCCUGCUUAUGCCAAAUCGAUCAUUCAUUGCUUCUGAACAUUCUACCUUUAAUCUUUGCUUCUGUAAAACCAACCUUUCUUCUAUUGAAUGGAGUGUUUGCUUGCUGUGCGGGAAAAGUGGCUCAUUCAUCGCUGAUUUGGCAUGUGCAACCAAAGUGGACGGACCGCAUUUAGGUCCGGUCGCUGUGAGGAUCCUCCAGCGGUGCUGGAUGUGCCGUGGCGCGGUGGUGCCCCUGGGUGGCGCCUUCGUGCUCGUGCUCUCACUGGUGCCGCCGUUGUGGUGCUCUCUGGCAAGCUCCGGCUUGUUGUGGUGGUGUUGGUUGUGAUGCUGGUCACAGCAUAGUGAUGGUGUGGCUGCAUCCUGCUUCGACUACAACUCCUUUUGGUGAGCUUCUCCUUGCUCCCCUCCUGAUCUCUCUAAUGCAUAGCUCUAGCUCUUGAUCUUGCUGGAUGUGAAGCCUCUUUGUCCUUCGUUGCAAAAAACUGACGGCAAGGAAGGCCUUUCUCGAUCCUAUCUUUGCCGGAGCCCUUUGCCGUCCGAUAUGGCAGACGGCAAAGUACUAGAUUCCUGUAGUGAAUGAUAUUUCUGUAGUCAACCUGAAAGUAUAAAACACCUAUUGUUUUACAGAAGUCUUGCCAAGUUCGCAUGGAGAGUUAUACUAUGUGCUUUUGAUCUAGAUAGACCAGCUAAGGACAUUCAUGAUCUUAUCCAUGGAUGGCUAGACUAGCCCCCCCCUCAUCUUCACAAAUUGUUAUGGUAGGGGGAUGCUCUCUCCUGGACUUAAUGGAAGACUAGGAAUAUUGCAUGUUUUGUGAAAACAAUGCCCGAUGAUCCUGCAUCUAUAAUUAUAGCAUGUGCCAGCUACUUAUGAAUUGGAAAAUCUUACAGACAACCCAAGGGGCGGGAAGCGUUGAGAUUGGAGUGGAGGCAAUCAAGAAAGUGAUGAAGAAGAUAUAAAGCAAAAGCAUGAAUGGGCUCCAACCAUCCCUAGGAUUGGUUGUGACUAAAAUCUUCAUAGCUCACGCCUUCUUAGGAUUCUACUGCAUUAUAUCUAUCAGCUCCCUUGUUGGUUUUUAUCUAUUUUAUUUUCCCAGUUUGUUUGGAGUCUAGAGACUAUUCAAUCUCAAUAUGCUUGAGAUGUAAAAAUGCUUUAUCGUGUUUCGUUGAAGGUGCGGGUGCUGUGAUGAGGACAUGACUACCUUGGAUAUGACCAAAAAUAUUGCAUACAUGCAUAUUUGUGAGGUGAUUUCUAAUACAAACUAUGCAAUAUUUUAUUUCUG
rnacentral:lncRNA from 1 species